CUGCCCUCGUCCCCGUCUCCCAACCCUCGUACCAGGGCCAUGCUCAGACCCUGGUGCAGGGAUGGGGGGCAGGGCCGUGGGGAC
rnacentral:pre_miRNA from 12 species